GGUCCAUGAAGGAGCUCAGAACUCCCCUGCCCAGCUGGGGCUGGCUGUGAAGCCAUGCGGCCGGAUGAGAAAAAGAGAAAAUAUGAUGGUCUACUUUCUGCUCUCCUGGGUUUUGUCAGCUGCUGGAUCACAGCCUUUCCUUAUCUGCAUCCAUAUUUUCAUGAAAACGCAAAAAGAGUGAGUGCAAAGGCACGGGAAAAGGACUCCUGC